AACGCAUAUGGCGCCUUGCGGGGCAACCCGGAAGGCAUGCCUGUUUGAGCAUCAUCCGCAGCAUCCACCUUGGGCCUUCACCAGUGAUCGCCCGGAAAGCGCGUCCGCCUGCCGUGUCAAGUGCGUCGGCAGGCGCCACCCACGUGGUCUCAAAUCAGGCAAGACUACCCGCCGAACUUAA
rnacentral:misc_RNA from 1 species